GAUGAACGCUGGCGGCGUGCCUAAUACAUGCAAGUCGAGCGAACGGACGAGAAGCUUGCUUCUCUGAUGUUAGCGGCGGACGGGUGAGUAACACGUGGAUAACCUACCUAUAAGACUGGGAUAACUUCGGGAAACCGUAGCUAAUACCGGAUAAUAUUUUGAACCGCAUGGUUCAAAAGUGAAAGACGGUCUUGCUGUCACUUAUAGAUGGAUCCGCGCUGCAUUAGCUAGUUGGUAAGGUAACGGCUUACCAAGGCAACGAGGCAUAGCCGACCUGAGAGGGUGAUCGGCCACACUGGAACGGAACCACGGUCCAGACUCCUACGGGAGGCAGCAGUAGGGAAUCUUCCGCAAUGGGCGAAAGCCUGACGGAGCAACGCCGCGUGAGUGAUGAAGGUCUUCGGAUCGUAAAACUCUGUUAUUAGGGAAGAACAUAUGUGUAAGUAACUGUGCACAUCUUGACGGUACCUAAUCAGAAAGCCACGGCUAACUACGUG
rnacentral:rRNA from 1 species